rnacentral:rRNA from 1 species
GACGUAGGGCGCGAGCGUUGUCCGGAUUUAUUGGGCGUAAAGAGCUCGUAGGCGGCUUGUCGCGUCGACUGUGAAAACCCGCGGCUCAACUGCGGGCCUGCAGCCGAUACGGGCAGGCGUAGAGUUCGGUAGGGGAGACUGGAAUUCCUGGAUGUAGCGGUGAAAUGCGCAGACUAUCAGGAGGAACACCGGUGGCGAAGGCGGGUCUCUGGGCCGGAUACUGACGCUGGAG